UUUACUGGGCAACCGCUGGCGAGCUUCUUAGGGAGCUUACUAGAGGAAAGUCGGGACUGGCCUUGUCCCUUUGGGGCAAGAAAGUUGGUGCACAGUGUAAGCUGUGGCAGGGUGACCUGACGGCAGUGAACCUGUCCCUUUGGGACAGUAGUAGCCAUAAAGGCUCCACAGAGACGAGCUGUCGCGGCGACGGGACAGAUGAAACGAGGAAAGCCCCACCAGCCAGCAACGCAAAUUAUGGUAGCGGCACCCCUAAGGGGGCGGAGGUAGUAUUUAUCUCUGAGAUAGAUGGUUGCCUUAAAUGACAGAAUCCCGCUUACAGGU
rnacentral:RNase_P_RNA from 1 species